rnacentral:lncRNA from 1 species
CGUGAAGGAGUAUCCUAAUUCGUAUGUUUUUGUUGUGGAUAUGCCAGGGUUGAAAUCUGGAGAUAUUAAAGUGCAGGUGGAAGAAGACAAUGUGCUGUUGAUUAGCGGAGAAAGGAAGAGGGAAGAGGAGAAAGAAGGGGCAAAGUUUAUUAGGAUGGAGAGAAGGGUUGGGAAAUUCAUGAGGAAGUUUAGUCUGCCGGAGAAUGCGAAUACUGAUGCGAUUUCUGCUGUUUGUCAAGAUGGAGUUCUGACUGUUACUGUUCAGAAAUUGCCCCCUCCUGAGCCAAAGAAACCAAAAUCAAUUGAGGUGAAAGUUGCUUGAAGUUAUGGACUCUGUUUUGAUGGUUGGUGGGGUAUGAUGUAGUAGAAAUAAAGAUGGUAGAGAUGUAGAAGUCGUGUUGUUUUAC